CGUGAAUCCUUGAGGAAUAACCAAGCCCAAGCCAACGAUGUUAAAUUUGUUAUGUGUUUCUCAGAGUAUGUGAUCAUUAGCAACCAUUGUGAUGCCUAGAUAUAUGGGCAGUCAAUCCCAACAUUUGUACAUGAGUUAUGCUCGAGUUGCAGGGAGGUUAUCCAAGCGGAAAAAGAAAGUACCCACGCCAGGUGAAACAACAAGCUAAUGCAACCGGGGCAUUUUGCAUUGGAUACCAUGUUUUCUCGAACACCUUUUCAGACAAGAUGCCCCAGGAAAAAUUGAACCUUGUUUUUGGCUCUCUAGGUCAUACUGCAGUGUAUGCCAUCAGUUGAAACUAAGGUUUUGAACUGAAACCGACACUACAAAUAGGUGCCUAUAUUUUUAAUCACGGGUGUAGGUGCACCCCAUUAUCCUAACCUUUCGGUUGGAGACAAGUCCCUCGAGAUGUGGAUCAUGUACAGAAUAUGUAACCAUUCUGGCAACAGUAAUCUUGUUUCUUCUAUACAUCCAUCUUGUUCCACUUUCCUUCUCCCUGCAAGUGGUCUCGCUCUUAUAUUUCCUUUUUUAGAAUGUUGUCACUUUAUUGAUUAAAGAACAUCAAUACAAAGUUCUCCCUGGAUGAAUUUCGGGAACACACUA